rnacentral:tRNA from 1 species
UCCGGUAUUGUAAUGGUAGCAUCCUAGGCUCAUAACCUGGUAGUGUAGGUUCAACUCCUGCCCGGACU